rnacentral:rRNA from 1 species
CAGUCGCCACGGGAAUACGUAGGGUGCGAGCGUUAAUCGGAAUUACUGGGCGUAAAGCGUGCGCAGGCGGUUCGUUAAGACAGAUGUGAAAUCCCCGGGCUUAACCUGGGAACUGCAUUUGUGACUGGCGAGCUAGAGUAUGGCAGAGGGGGGUAGAAUUCCACGUGUAGCAGUGAAAUGCGUAGAGAUGUGGAGGAAUACCGAUGGCGAAGGCAGCCCCCUGGGCCAAUACUGACGCUCAUGCACGAAAGCGUGGGGAGCAAACAGGAUUAGAUACCCCAGUAGUCCCUGUCUCUUAUAC